CGUCACCUAAAGCUUGUACGUAACAUGAGGGCACAGAGCGACCCGUGGUUUGCGAAAUACCUACUGCGCAUCGGUGGUGGCACUGAGGAGGCCAAUGGUGAUGGCGAUGUGCGUCUUCCUGAUGAGAUAUGCGUGCCGUAUACAGGGGAGGACACUAACCUUGAUAAACUAAUAGACUACGUUUUCCCAAGGCUGGAUGAUAAUAUGUCAGAUCCUAACUACAUCACCUCGAGAGCCAUUUUGUCCACACGGAAUGAUUGUGUGGAUAGGAUUAACAUGAAGAUGAUCAGUCGCUUCCGAGGGGAUGAGAUGGUGUACCAUAGCUUUGAUCGUGCAGAAGACGAUCCCCAUAACUACUAUCCCCCUGAGUUCCUUAACUCGCUGACUCCUAACGGGUUGCCCGCACAUGUGUUGAAGCUCAAGAUUAACUGCCCUGUCAUAUUGCUUAGGAACAUUGACCCUGCGAACGGGCUUUGCAAUGGUACGAGGCUGGUAGUCCGGGGGUUCCAAAGAAACGCCAUCGAUGCAGAGAUUAUGCUGGGGCAACAUGCUGGAAAGAGGAUUUUUCUGCCUCGAAUCCCCUUGUGCCCCUCUGAUGAUGAGAUGUUCCCUUUUCAGUUCAAGAGGAAGCAGUUUCCUGUUAGGCUCAGCUUCGCCAUGACGGUUAACAAGGCACAAGGGCAAACUAUCCCCAACGUCGGUAUUUACCUGCCCGAGCCGGUAUUCUCUCAUGGUCAGUUGUACGUCGCGCUAUCAAGAGCCACAGCCAGAGCUAACGUCAGAGUCCUUGCCUUCCCGUCUGAUGACAAGAAAAGGAAGUGCUCAAAGCACAGUGGUACGUAUACGAGGAACAUCGUCUACAUAGAGGUCCUUACGUCAUAGGCCAACUCCCUUGCAGGUUUAGCACACAUGAUGGGGUUUGUUUAGCCAUCAGAAGAUUGUUAUACAAAUGUUUUUUUUAAUAUCCUGCUUUGAUACUGGUAGUAUGCAAGAGAAUAAUUUUGCUCGAUCCGACACUGGUAGCUAAAUUCAUUGCUUGCUGGAAUGCUUGAUAUUUAGUGUUCACUGUUUAGGUAUUGCAAUAAGAUCUUUGAUGGCUACGCGUGCAGUUAGAUCAAUCUCGAUCAGGUUCAGAAGAAAACAAACCAAAUAGGGUUCCUAAACAGGAGGAUAUGAUGAAACCUGAUUUGCUAGCGAAACAGGAAGAUGACGAAUGUUGUGGUUCUGAUGACAAAUCAAGGGAAUUUUUUUCUGCACUAGAAGAGGAAUUAACAAAGACACCAACACAUUCAGAGCUAAAACCGCCUAGAUAUCCUCUACUUCCAGUUACUUUUCAUGACAGAAGCAUGCUUAGAAAGGCUCCAACUAUGGUUCAGCCUUCAAGUAAGCUUCUAGAUGAGAAGAACACAAUACUAGAACAGAUAAAGAAUAAGUCUUUCAACUUGAAGCCUGUUCUUACAAAGAGACCAAAUGUGAUGGGUGGUCCCAGAACGAAUUUACAAGCGGUGGCCAUUCUAGAGCGUGCCC